rnacentral:rRNA from 1 species
UUAAAAGCUCGUAGUUGGAUUUCUGUUGAGGAUGACCGGUCCGCUCUUUGAGCGCGUAUCUGGUUCAGCCUUGGCAUCCUCUUGGGGAACGCUACUGUGCUUGAUUGCAUGGGGCGGUAUUCAAGACUUUUACUUUGAGGAAAUUAGAGUGUUCACUGCAAGCGUUAGCAAUUGAAUACAUUAGCAUGGAAUAAUAAUAUAGGACCUUGGUACUAUUUUGUUGGUUUCUAGAACUAAGGUAAUGAUUAAUAGGGACAAUUGGGGGCAUUCGUAUUAACGCGUCAGAGGUGGAAUUCUUAGAUUGCGUUACGACGAACUACUGCGAAAGCAUUUGCCAAGGAUGUUUUCAUUGAUCAAGAACGAAAGUAUGGGGAUCGAAGACGCUUAGAUACCGUCGUAGUCUAUACCAUAAACUAUGCCAACUAGAGAUUGGAGGUCGUUCUCUUUAUGACUCCUUCAGCACCUUAUGAGAAAUCAAAGUCUUUGGGUUCCGGGGGGAGUAUGGUCGCAAGGCUGAAACUUAAAGGAAUUGACGGAAGGGCACCACUAGGAGUGGAGCCUGCGGCUUAAUUUGACUCAACACGGGAAAACCUUACCAGGUCCAGACAUAGUAAGGAUUGACAGAUUGAUAGCUCUU